rnacentral:rRNA from 1 species
GAUGAACGCUGGCGGCAUGCCUUACACAUGCAAGUCGAACGGCAGCAUGGGUGCUUGCACCUGAUGGCGAGUGGCGAACGGGUGAGUAAUGCAUCGGAACGUACCCGGAAGUGGGGGAUAACGUAGCGAAAGUUACGCUAAUACCGCAUAUUCUGUGAGCAGGAAAGUGGGGGAUCGCAAGACCUCGCGCUUCCGGAGCGGCCGAUGUCGGAUUAGCUGGUUGGCGGGGUAAAGGCCCACCAAGGCAACGAUCCGUAGCGGGUCUGAGAGGAUGAUCCGCCACACUGGGACUGAGACACGGCCCAGACUCCUACGGGAGGCAGCAGUGGGGAAUUUUGGACAAUGGGGGCAACCCUGAUCCAGCCAUGCCGCGAGUGAAGAAGGCCUUCGGGUUGUAAAGCUCUUUCGGCCGGGAAGAAAUCGCACAGGUUAAUACCUUGUGUGGAUGACGGUACCGGAAUAAGAAGCACCGGCUAACUACGUGCCAGCCGCCGCGGUAAUAC